UCCGAGUUUCGUAGUUUCCGACGAGUACUUGAAUGCAGCACGUAUCCACACCCCUGUUACUUGUUCUACAUUUCUGCUUGGAGGAAGUGGCCCCCUUUCCUCACCCUGUCGCUCUUUACUGCGGGGAUACAAAAUCACUAACAAACUAUUCCGUUGAGUGAAAAUGAGGCAAUUGUCCUCCUAGAAAAUUGGGAAAUCGUCUCUGCAGAAUAGCACGUACGUUGUAACAACAUAGUUGUAAGAAGAUACGCCAGAGUGGAUCGUUUUGAGCUGGAGGAGCCUCGUCUGCUUUGUUUACAUUGGGAUUGUUUUGAUGCUGGGUGUUUUCACGGUGACGUUUUUGCGUGGAAAACGACUGUAAAAUCCUGCAACGAUGGCAAUCCAGGCCCAGGUGAUAUAUGACUUCAGUGCUGAACCAGGAAAUAACGAGUUGACAGUCAGAGAAGGAGAGACUGUCACCGUCCUCAAUCAGAAUGUUGGUGGAGGAUGGAUAGAGGCUCAGAACUCCAGAGGAGAAAGUGGGCUGGUGCCAGAAGACUACUUACAGGUGAGUG